UGCCCCAUGGCUGAGUUGGUUACAGCGUCCGACUGUUAUGUUGACAUCGGAAGGUCGUGAGUUCGAGCCUCACUGGGGCAG